rnacentral:lncRNA from 1 species
UCUCCUUUACAUUAUGUUCUCUUCUCAGCAAUAACCACAGAGCUCAACCCAGAUUAUAUCCUUAACGCUCAGUGGGAUUGCCUGUCUGGUUUUCGGGCUUUUCUCUAGACACUGUGGAUUUGGGCAUUUCUGGACAUUCAAGGCAUGUCCCUGCCACUGAUUGCAUCUGAAAGAAAGGGAGAGAGAGAAAGAGGAAGAGCGAGGGAAAGACAUAGAAAGCGUGUCUGAAGGAAUGAGAGUGAUAGAAAGACGGUGUAUGUUAAAGACAGAAAUUGAGGGAGAGAAAGAGGGAAGAGACAUUUAGGAGUGCAAAUGAAAAAAACUGGCUCUAUCGGGAGGAAAGUUUGUUUUGGAGACACAAGAGCUGACCGCUCGGACAGGAGGAAACUCUUCCGACACUACACUGUGGGGUCCUACGAUAGCUUUGAUACCACCAGGUAAGGUUACUCAGAUGCCUUUAUUAAAACAUGCACACGCAUACACACACAAGCACACAGGGUGAUUAGCUAAGUGGAAGUUUAUGUGAAGUGGUAGCUUGUCUCAGAGCAGUGUUUUGAGGUUUGUUUUUGCUCUAGUUUUCAGUUGUUAUCAUUACAUUUUUCUCUUCUUCUUCUCUCUCAUUGUCUUAUCCACUCCCAGUCACAGGCCUACUUUCCAAUGUGUUGGAUAUGACCACUAGGCAAUUUUAGACCACUAAUCACAGCAUGAAGUGUGAUAUAGGCAUAUCUCCCAUAAGGGGCCGUUUGAAAAUUACUGUGGGGGACCAAGAUAGGAGAGGAAGGGGUGCAGAUUUUUUCUUUGCUUUGGGGAGGGUUCCUUAGUUUUUUAUUGGACACACAGUGGAGGGUAUAGUGCAUUUCCUCCCUAUUUACAUUCACUGUUUUGGCAGGUUUUCCUAUAUUCCAUCCUAGCCAACUUUCCCAUCUAAUUAGAUAUGCCUCCCCUAUGGAACCUGUGGUUCGACCAAUAAAAAAUAUUAUAUGGGACACCUGUACUGCCACUGACAGGCCGUGCACUGCAAGACACAGGUUCGUUGUGUGA